AUUGGACGCUGGCGGCAUGCCUUACACAUGCAAGUCGAACGGCAGCGGGGGAGAAGCUUGCUUUUCCUGCCGGCGAGUGGCGAACGGGUGAGUAAUACAUCGGAACGUGCCCUGUAGUGGGGGAUAACUAGUCGAAAGAUUAGCUAAUACUGCAUACGACCUGAGGGUGAAAGUGGGGGACCGCAAGGCCUCAUGCUAUAGGAGCGGCCGAUGUCUGAUUAGCUAGUUGGUGGGGUAAAGGCCUACCAAGGCGACGAUCAGUAGCUGGUCUGAGAGGACGAUCAGCCACACUGGGACUGAGACACGGCCCAGACUCCUACGGGAGGCAGCAGUGGGGAAUUUUGGACAAUGGGCGAAAGCCUGAUCCAGCAAUGCCGCGUGUGUGAAGAAGGCCUUCGGGUUGUAAAGCACUUUUGUCCGGAAAGAAAUGGCUCUGGUUAAUACCUGGGGUCGAUGACGGUUCCGGAAGAAUAAGGACCGGCUAACUACGUGCCAGCAGCCGCCGUAA
rnacentral:rRNA from 1 species